AAACUAAAAGUGAUAAUCGAGGUACCAUUUCCUUUCCCCUACAAGGACGAUAAAGCAGUACCAUAGAAAUAUGACGUCAAUAUCGUCAUACCUGAAGAUGAAAAAACCAAAGCCAUGACUUGAAGCGUUGGGGAAGUAGGUUAUUUCACUCGUAGUGGAAGAUGUUAUUCGAAAGAAGUCGAACCAGUGAAGAAGAACAGUGACUUGAAAUAGAAAGGAAAAGCACUAAUGCGUGUGACCGAAGAUGAACAUGAAACUGUGCCUGAGCAAGAAGCUAAAAAUUCUGUGGACGAGGAGGAAGCACAGGAAUUCUUAAAAUUUAUUAAGCACAGUGAGUACAACGUGGUGGAACAAUUGAGUAAGCAGCCAGUACGAAUUUCGGUAUUAUCUCUGCUGUUAAAUUCAGAACCUCACUGGAACGGCUUGUUAAAGGUGUUGAAUCAAGCUUACGUGGCAAACAAUAUAUCCGUUGAAAAACUGGAUAGGUGGGUGAACAACUUGAAUACGGAUAAUUUCAUUUCUUUUAGUGAUGAUGAAAUACCGCCCAAUGGUAGAGGCUCAGUGAAAGCAUUGCAUAUCAUAACCCGUUGUAAGGGCUAUAUAAUACCGAACAUGCUCAUCGACAAUGGAUCGGUACUCAAUGUCAUGCAUUUGGCCACACUUUCUAGGAUUCCGAUGGAUUUUUCCUAUCUAAGGCCCCGCCAUUCUACAGUAAGGGCAUUCGAUGGAACAAGACGAGAAGUCAUGAGAAAAAUCGAGAUCCCUCUAGAAGUGGGUCCCUAUAUAUAUGAUGUUGAGUUUCAAGUCAUGGACAUUACACCAUCAUACAAUUGUCUCUUGGGAAGACCUUGGAUCCAUUUUGCUGGAGCAGUCCCAUCAUCCCUCCAUCAAAAGGUGAAAUUCAUCAUGGAUGGCUGUUUGGUCACCGUUGAGGGAGAAGAAGACAUUGUAGCAUCUAUUUCUACCGACGCACCAUACAUUGAAGUGAGUAAAGAUGCUACAGAAUGUUCCUUCUGAUCUCUUGAAUUUGUCAAUGCCGCAUUCGUCGCUGAGGGAAAUAGAAUUCUUGAGCCAAAACUGUCGAGAAAUAUUAGGAUAGGUGUCAAACUGACUGUAGGAAGGGGGGCUCGAGCAAGGAAAGAUUUGGGAAGGUACCUACAAGGAAUAGUCAGGGCUCUAAAGCCAGUGCACUACAAGGCCCGAUACGGUUUGGGGUUCCAGCCGGACAUGCGUCAAAGAAGAAAAUAGUGGAAGAAGGAUAAUGAGAGAAGGAUUGCGAGAAUUUUGGGCCGAAAAGUAGAAUAAGAGCCCAUAACGUACCCUCCUUUGUCAAAAAUAUUUACAUCUGCAGGGAUGAUAUACCCCGGACAGGAUAAUAUACAAAGCACGCUAUUAUUAAUUGAAAGGGGUCUUCAGAAUGUCAGUAUAAAUGUCAUUGACAAAGGAAGUGAGGCUAUUAAAGAUGUUUCAACGAUACGCCCUUGUCCUCCUGGUUUCAUGUUGAACAAUUGGACUGCCGAAGACCUUCUUGUAGUUUAUAAGUCUUCAGAGUAAUGCUCAAACAUUACCCCUCUAUUGUGUCCUUAGAUAUAAUAGAAUUUUUUUGUAAGAGCUUGCAUUCGCUCUUUAUCAUUUAAAUGAAUAUCAAUGAAGAUGCAUUUUGUCACGAUCUUUCGCAUUAUCACUAAUUUCAUAACCAUCUUCUCAUUUCAUAGCCUAUCUGUACAUUUGCCUCAUACCAUGCCAUAACAUUUUGUUUGUUGGUUCCAAUAUUGGGAUGCCCCUCUAUAGUUUCCUUUUUCAUUUAACUUUCAGGUGCUCGGAUAUCAACAGCAUGAACAAACCCGUUACGAGUCCUGAAAUCGAUUUUGAGAAGGCUAUUUGUUUAGGAGAAUUCAAAGUUGAAGAAAAUGCCGAAGACUAUGUCUCGUCCUCUGACUUGCUAAGAAUGGUAGAGCGAGAAGAUAAACAGAUUUUGCCUCAUCAAGAAUCUGUUGAAACAAUAAAUUUGGGAACUGAAGAAAAGAAGCAAGAGGUGAAGAUUGGGACCUCCAUUUUAGGGAGCACCAGGCAUAAUUUGAUUGCUUUGUUCCUCGAGUACAAAGAUGUAUUCGCAUGGUCAUAUCAAGACAUGCCAGGAUUGGAUGAAGAUGUAGUAGUCCAUAAGGUCCCAUUAAAGUCAGAAUGCAAACCCAUUCAACAAAAGCUAAGAUGAAUGAGACUUGAGAUGUUAUUGAAAAUAAAAGAGGGAGUCAAGAAGCAAUUUGAUGCUGGCUUCCUACAAGCCUCCAAAUAUUCAGAGUGGGUGGCUAACAUAGUCCCGGUACCAAAGAAAGACGACAAAGUACGAAUGUGCGUGGAUUAUCGUGACUUGAAUCGAGCAAGUCCCAAAGAUAAUUUUCCCUUACCACACAUUAAUAACACAUCAAAGUAUUCAUUGUUUUCUUUCAUGGAUAGAUUCUCGGGGUACAAUCAGAUCAAGAUGGCCCCUGAAGAUAUGGAGAAAACUACUUUCAUAACAAUGUGGGGAACAUUUUGCUACAAGGUGAUGCCGUUCGGAUUAAAGAAUGCUGGGGCAACGUAUCAGAAGGCUAUGGUAACAUUAUUCCAUGACAUGAUGCAUAAAGAAAUAGAAGUCUACGUCGACGAUAUAAUUGCUAAGUCCCGAGGGGAAGAAGAGCAUGUAGUGAACCUGAAAAAGUUGUUCAACAGACUGAGAAAGUUUCAGCUAAAGCUCAAUCCGGCCAAAUGUACGUUUGGGGUUACCUCGGGAAAGUUGCUAGGCUUCAUUGUCAGUGAAAGAGGUAUCGAGGUUGAUCCAGAUAAAAUAAAAGCCAUUCAAGAGUUGCCACCUCCGCGCACGCAAAAAGAAGUCAAAGGAUUUUUAGGAAGGUUGAACUACAUCGCUCGGUUUAUUGUUUAACUCACUAACCAGUGCGACCCAAUCUUUCGACUCCUUCGAAAACAUAAUCCUGGAGAAUGGAACGAGGAGUGCCAAGUGGCUUUUGACAAGAUAAAACAGUAUUUGUCUAGUCCUCCAGUGCUAGUACCACCAAUGCCGGGAAGACCAUUGAUAUUGUAUUUGACUGUGUUCGAGAAUUCAAUGGGUUGCGUACUGGGGCAACACGUCGAGUCAGGAAAGAAAGAAAAAACAAUCUACUACCUCAGCAAAAAGUUCAAUGAACACGAGGCAAAGUAUUCGUCCAUUGAAAAAUACUGUUGCGCUCUGGUUUGGGUAGCUCGGAGACUUAGGCAAUAUAUGUUGUAUCAUACGACAUGGUUGAUUUCAAAGCUAGAUCCAAUAAAGUACAUGAUGGAGUCACCUGCACUCACUGGAAGAAUGGCACGAUGGCACGAUGAUAAAUCUUACUAUCGGAGUACGACAUCAUCUAUGUGAGUCAAAAGUCGAUAAAAGGAAGUGCAAUAGCUGAUUUCUUAGCAGAUCGAACAACGGAGGAAUACGAGCCAUUGAGAUUUGAUUUCCCGGAUGAAGACUUGAUGUGCAUCACGGGAAAAGAAUGCGAGUCAUUAAAAGAGAAGUCAUGGAAGAUGAGCUUUGAUGGUGCAUCGAAUGCAUUGGGGCAUGGGAUUGGAGCGGUUUUAGUAUCACCAGAAGGGAACCAUUAUCCGUUCACUGCCAGACUGAAUUUCUUUUGUACCAAUAACAUAGCGGAAUAUGAGGCCUGUAUCAUGGGACUUCGUGCAGCUAUUGAACGAAACAUUGAAAUCUUAGAGGUGUAUGGAGACUCAGCAUUGGUGAUAUACUAAAUCCAUGGAGAAUGGGAAGUGAGAGAUUCAAAAUUAUUCAAAUACUAUGAUCUAGUGUCAGGACUGAUUAAAAAAUUCAAAGAAAUAACUUUUAAUUACUUCCCACGAGAAGAAAACCAAUUGGCUGAUGCCCUGGCCACUUUGGCUUCAAUGUUCAAAGCAAGUAGAGAAACAGAAAUAAUGCCCCUCAAAAUGAGCAUAUACGAGGUCCCUGCACACUAUUUCAGCAUUGAAAAAGAGCCAGAUGGACGGCCAUGGUUUCAUGAUAUCUUAGAAUACAUCAAAAAUAAAAGGUAUCCCGAGCAAGCAAAUGAGAACGACAAAAGAACAAUUAGAAGAAUGGCAACGGGGUUUGUUCUUGAUGGGGAUAUCUUGUACAAAAGAGGAAAAGAUCAAGUGCUCUUGAGAUGCGUGGAUGCUGCUGAAGCUAAAAAAAUACUUGAAGAUAUCCAUGAGGGAAUUUGUGGGACACAUGCCAAUGGUUUCACUAUGACCAGGAAGAUCAUGAGACUCGGUUAUUACUGGCUAACGAUGGAAAGUGACUGCAUUAGUUUUGCAAGAAAAUGCCACAAAUGCCAAAUUUAUGGUGAUAAAAUUCAUGUAGCCCCUUCGCCCCUUCAUGUCAUGACUUCUCCGUGGCCUUUUUCCAUGUGGGGCAUGGAUGCUAUAGGACCAAUUUCCCCAAAAGCUUUUAAUGGACACCGGUUUAUCUUUGUGGUCAUUGAUUACUUCACAAAAUGGAUAGAAGCCGCUUCGUUUGCCAAUGUGACAAAGACCGCAGUUUGUAGGUUUUUGAAAAAGGAAAUCAUUUGUCGAUAUGGUUUGCCUGAAAGAAUCAUUUCAGAUAACGCCAUGAACCUGAACAACAAGAUGAUGAAAGAAGUAUGUGAACAAUUUCAAAUAAAGCAUCAUAACUCAUCACCCUAUCGCCCGAAAAUGAACGGAUCUGUUGAGGCAGCCAAUAAGAAUAUUAAGAAGAUCAUUGGGAAAAUGACCGAGACAUAUAAAGACUGGCACGAAAAGCUACAUUUUGCUUUGUAUGCAUAUCACACAUCUGUACGGACAUCUACGGGGGCAACUCCUUUCUCUCUGGUCUAUGGAAUGAAAGCUGUGCUACCUAUCGAAGUUGAGAUCCCCUCUCUAUGAGUCUUAAUGGAAUCAAAACUAGAAGAAGUAGAAUGGGUCCGAGCUCGAUAUGACCAGUUAAACCUUAUUGAAGAAAAACGUCUGAAGGCAAUCUGCCAUUGACAGAUGUACUAGAAGAGAAUGAUCACAGCCCAUGACAAGAAAGUACGGCCAAGAGAAUUCCACGAAGGAAAACUCGUACUGAGAAAGAUUCUCCCAAUACAAAAAGACUUCCGAGGAAAAUGGGCACCAAAUUAGGAAGGCCCAUACGUCGUAAAGAAGGUAUUCUCGGGCGGAGCUUUGAUUCUCACCGAGAUGGAUGGGAAGGAGUUACCGAAUCCAGUGAACUCAGAUGCUGUAAAGAAAUAUUAUGCUUGAAAAAGGAAACCAAGAUGAAAACCCGAAAAGGGCAUCUUAAAAAAAAAAGAGAAAAAAUAAAAAAGAAAAAGAAAAAGGGGGAUCAAGGUGAAAACCCGAAAAGAGCGUAUUGAUUAAACACAAAAGAUUAGGAUGAAAACCCGAAAAGCAAACCCGAGCUUAAAGAAUAAGGCAUUUCGAACGGUGGGUCAAACAGCGAGACUACAGUAUUUGAAGCAUUUAUGAAAACUCGAAAUCUUUUACGUAAAAAGUCAUGCUCGAAAAGAUUCUAGAUGAAGGAAUGUGGAAGAGUUCAUGUGUUGAAUAUCUAGAGCAUUUGUAUCCGUUGAAUGCGAUCCCUUUUCUCUUUAUGACACUUUUUACUAUCAUUGAUUAACUUUCUUUGUUUGCUACAUUUGAAAUAAAUAAAUGAGAGGUAGCCUUUUUGCCCCUACCUAACCAUUUUUAUGCAUCUCAUUAUGUGUUUAUUUACAUGAUAAAUAGUGAAAUGACAUAUUCUAAACAAAAGAAGUGUUAAGCAUUACCUGAAUGGAAAUUUGACAAAUACAAGAGCCUCAAAGCAAGGACAAAGUUCAACCAAGGACAAAAGAGUGAUAUCUGAGAAACACAGAUUACUCGUGAAACUUGGAGACGGGUACAAAGCUUGAAGAGAAAGUCAAGAGUCAAAGCAAUGAACGCAGAUCAUCAAAAAUCGUGACGAAAAAGGAGCAUACGACAAACAUGCCUAAGGCGCAUUGCAUAAUCAUGUAGGCAUAAAGGCAUUUAAGACAAACAUGUGCAUAUCAUGAUAACAUCAUGCAUGACAUAUACAGGUACUCCAGCAAAGAAAGAAGAUAUGAUAAUAGGUGCACUGAAUCAAAGGAAAAAACGCCUGAGUUCUACCAAUGACAAGUUUUGGUAUUUUGAUGUUUUAAUUCAUGUUUUCAAAAAUCAACUCAUAUUGCGAGAGGUGAGUUGAGACUUUUAAUUUCUGUUUUUCAAAAAAAUCAACUCGUAUUGCGGGAAGUGAGUUGGGCCUCGAGUUACACGCUGUAAUAUCCUGAUUUUGGGCCUAGUCGGAAUAGUGGUUUCGUGACCAUAAAAUCCAAGAUAGAAAUAAUUAUUUUAUGAUUAUUUUGAGGUCUAUGAUAUGAUUGCAUGAUUGUGUGAAAAUUUCGUGAAGAAAUUUUAUGCAUAAAGUGCUUAAAUUGAAAUUAGGGACUAAAUCGAAUAAUUUGUAAAACUUGCAUUCUAGAAGUUUCUAGUAUGAAAUUGUUUUGAAAUAUUAAUUAUGAGGUCUUAAAUAGAAAUUUUACCAAUUUCUAAGUCUAUGGACAAAAAUUGGACAUGAAUGGAAUUUUUGGAAAGUUUAGUAGUAAGGGCAUUUUGGUCAUUUAGGGGUAAAAUGAAUUAAAAUACAAAAUUAAAAGCCAAUUUUGCUCAUCUUCAACCCCAUGGCCGAAUAUAGCAAGGAGAAACCAUGGCUAGGGUUUUUAAAGCUUCCAAGCUCGAUUGUAAGUCCGUUCUAGCCUCGUUUUUAAUGAUUUUUACGUUUUUGGAGUCUUGGUAGCUCGAUUUAGCUUAUGCUAGCAAUAAUUUAACCUAGGGUUUAUAUUUGGAAAAAUACCCAUAGGUGAAAUUUGUGUAUUUUGGUGUUUUAUGAUAAAAUAUGAGGUUUUAAAUUAUGUUAGACAACUUGUGCUACUCGGUUUUAAGUGAAAACGAGCAAAAGGGCUUAAUAGGUAAAAAUACCUAAUAGUCAUAAGUACAUGUUAGAGUGAGAAUUUGAUGUUGCCAUAGAAGGUAAAAAUGAUCAGCAUGUCAUAAAACAUAAGAAAAUAGGCUGAAAUUUAAUUUACGAGCUUUGGGGCAAAAGUGUAAAUAUGCAAAAGUUUAGGGGCAAAAUUAUAAUUUUUCCAAAAUAUGAUUUUGGUUCAAUUUGAAUAAUGUGAGUCGUAAUUAGACUAUAUUUUAAAUGAUAGAGCAAGGAAAACUGAAACUCGGGCUAAAAUGGGGAAAAUACCAAGUUGUGGACGAAAUGGUAAAAGUAGCCUUUUUCGCAUACGUGGUAAGUUCAUAUGUAAAUGUUGGUAACAUAGUUAUUGUUUUAAAUGUUUUAAUGUUAUUUAAAUGAUAUGAUAAUUAUUAUGAAAUAUCAUACUUGUGACAAUUGUUUGAUAAUAUAUCAAAUUAUGUGAUAUACUUGGAAAAUGUGAAAUACUACCGAGUAUCGGUAUCGACAUUCCAUAGAAGAUGGUUGAGACAUAUGAUUGCGAAAAAUGUCCCGUUGAACCUUAGGAAUGGAUUAGGAUACAAGUGACAUGUCACUGGGAUAUUUGGGCAUCCGAACUCGUUGAGUUGAGUCCGAGUUCACUUAUGGAUGCGAGCGUCCGAACUCGUUGAGUUGAGUCCGAGUUCGAGAGAUGUAACUAGGCAUCUGAGCUCGUUGAGUUGAGUCCGAGUUCACUUAUGGAUGCGAACGCCCGAGCUCGUUGAGUUGAGUCCGAGUUCACUUAUGGGCGGGUUACAUGGUAGCUUGGCCACAUAUGUGGCACUUAUGUGCAAACUUUCCAUGUAUCCGAAUUAUAUUCCGAUGUGUUCAACGGGUAAAGUUCUACUGAAAUGGAGAAAUACUCAAGAUGAAAGGGACGUAUUGGUAAGUGUUGUGAAAUGGGUACUUUGAACAGGUAUGUACUUAACCCUCAAGUUGAAAAAUCGAUAUAACAACAAUAUGGUAAGAUGAUAAAUGAAAAUGUGAUAUGAAUGUCUUGGUGAUGAUUAUGCAAAUGAUGUUUUAUGUUUGCUUAUAUGGUUAUGUUACUUGCUAUUUGCAUAUGAACUUAUUAAGCAUUUAUGCUUACUCCCUCCUUUUCAUUCCUUGUAGUGUUGACAAGCCAGCUCGGAAAUCGGGAAUGGUCGGAGGCACACUCACACUAUCCGUAUACCAUCUUGGCAUAAUGGCUUGUAUAUUUUGAGUAUGGCAUGUAUAGCAUUAUAAUCAUUUUGUGUAUAUGGUCUUAUGAUAUGGUUAUUGAGUGGUAUGGAAAUGCUUGGUAAUGAUUAGCCAUUGGAAUGGCUAAUCAUGAUCAUAUUUGGUGUUAUGUAUGUCAAAUUGCUAGCUAAUCCAUGGAAACCAUGAAAUAGGUAAAAUUUACCAUAAAAUAGAUUCAGACAGCAGCAGUGACGUGAGUUUGAAAAAUCACUAAAAAUAGUAGAGAUACAAUUAGAUGAUGAAUAAGUUAUGGAAUCGAAUCUUGAUGAGUCUAUUUUCAUAUGGAAGAAGCAAAACAGGUAUAUGAGCUAUAUUUUAUGAGAUGUUUAAAUUUUUGUGAGACAGGGCCAGAGCGAUUUCUGGAUCCCCUGUUCUGACUUUGGAAAUUCACCAUAAAUUUUACAAAGAUAAUUAGAGUUCAUGAUUUAUAUGUACAGAUUUCUUAUUGAGUCUAGUUUUAUUAGAGACAAAUGGCAUAGUCAUUGAAUCUCUGUACAGGGAGAUAUCUGAUUCGUAAUACACAGAGGUCAGAGUAGUCGAACCCUGAAACAGGGGAGACUUUAACUAAUAAACUGUACUAAUUGGCCCGACCAAAAAUUCUAGAAAAAAAUUAGUAGAUAUAUAUAUGAGUCUAGUUUCAGGAAAAAUUUUCGGAAUUGGAUUUUGAGUUUCAGAACUUGAGAUAUGAUUUUUAAAGAGACUGUGAUGCAGUUAGCCAGCUUGUUUGGAAAUUUUAAAAUGAAUUGUAUGAGCUGUUUAAGUAAUGAAUUAAGUCCGUUAACACCUCGUGUUCGACUCCGGAAACGGUCUCGGGUACGGGGCGUUACACACGCUGAGGUAUUUUCAAAUUCUAUUUUUUUCAAAAUCAACUCAUAUUGCGAGAGGUGAGUUGAGCCUCAGGACACGCUGAGGUAAUUUCAAAUUCUAUUUUUCAAAUUUCUGUUUUCAAAAAUCAACUCAUGUUGCGAGAGGUGAAUUGAGCCUCAGGACACACUGAGGUAACUUCAAUUUCUUUUUUUUUUAAAUUUUUUCUUUUCAAAAAAAUCAACUCAUAUUGCGAGAGGUGAGUUGAGCCUUGGCUAUGCUUAGGUAUUUCCAAUUUCUGUUUUAGUUCAUGUUUUCAAAAAUCAACUCAUAUUGCGAGAGGUGAGUUGAGCCUUUUAAUUUCUGUUUUUCAAAAUCUACUUUUCAAAUCAAGUUUUAAAAAGACCAACUCAUAUUGCGAGAGAUGAGUUGAGCCUUGGCUCACGUGUUGAGCUAUUUUCAAUUUCUGUUUUUAAUAACUGUUUUUAAGAGUCAAUUCAUAUUGCGAGAAAUGAGUUGAGCUCAAGAUCACAUGCUGAAUAAAGAAUAAAGAUUGAAGCUGAUAGAAGACACCAGACUUGGUCUCCCUAAAGUUGCAGUGGAGCAGGUCAAAAGCUGCGAGUCUUGUCUCCCUAAAGUUGCAAUGAAGCUGAUCAAGGAUAACAAAUCUUGCCUUUCUGAAACGACAGAAGAGAAGAUCACAAACCUCAUCUCACUGAAGCGAUAGAAGAGUAGAUUGAAGUUGUAGAUUUUAUCUUUCUGAAGUUACAAGUGAAGCAGUUCGAAGCCACAAGUUGCAUAUAAUUAAAGUCACAUCGGAGUAGAUUGAAGCUACAAGGCAUAUGUCAAAAGAUGCAAUGGAUUGAACCAAAGCUGCAAGAUACAGUGGACUGGAAAGAGACUAUCUGAACAAGAAUUGCACUAAAGAAGUCAAAGCUCAGCAAGACUGGGCAAAAUUGGCCUUUCUUUGUGUCUUUGCUCUAUUCCCGUUACACGACAAUGAGCAAAGAGGGGCAGCUGUUAUAGACCAAUUUUGGGCCAUUUACAAUGCCCUCAGCCCAGUUUCAUUUACAUUAAACUAAUACCCAUCUAAGUUAACCCAAAUUGAACCUAAAACUACCCAAACCCAUUAACUACCCACAGCUCGUUUACAAUAUUCAGCCCAACUAACCUAAACCCAAAUACUCAACCCAAGCCCAGGAGCCUAACUUUAGACUUAGGGUUUCAGAAACUGAAACCCUAACCUUCCCACUUGCGCCGAACCUACCCACCUACCCCUAUCGACAAAGUCACCUCAGCGCCGCAACACCCAUGCCAUGGCCACCAACUCUCCCUACUUACCCUCUGUCACCGGACUGCUCCACCUGCACAGACAAGACACACAACAGCAACAGAAAAUAGAUAUAGAUAGUGUAACCAAAAUGGUUAUAAAAAGGCCGAUUAAAAAGCUUUGUGGUUGUUGGAUUUUUAUUGAAAUAAUACAAGAAUAACAUCAAAAGCAAAAAAAUAGUGCAAAGUCAGAUUCAAACAUCACGAAUCAGAGAGCCGAAAUACAAAAUCCAAUGUGAUUUUAAUUUCAAUUUUGUUUCUUUUUCUCACACAUAUAUAUUAAAACAAGUACAAAAUUAUAACAAAAACACAAAAAACGAAAAAACCAGAAAAAAAGAGAAAAAUCCUACCUCUCCGGCCACCGUGUACGGUGGCCGGCACCGGCGCCGGCGCCGGCAAGGCUCCGGUGACCGAACCCCUGGCCGGAGUCCCACCAGAAAUCGCUCUGUCCUCACUCUCUUUUUUUUCUUUCCCAGCCCCAAAUGAUUUUUUUUUCUGAUUUAAAGGCUAUUUAUAGCCCUUGAAAACGGCAUCGUUUUGGGUUUAAAACCCAGGGCAUAAAACGACAUUGUUUUGCCCUGGGUCGGACCAUCCGACUCGACCCACCUCAGGAUCCGAGUGUUUUUGUGUGAAUGGGAUAUUUAUGCGCACAGUCCUUCCGCUUUUCUGGCAUUUAUAAUCAAGUUUUGCGUUAGUUUUAAUUUGGCCCUGAAUUUUUACAUGGUUUUCAAUUUGGUCCCGUUCAAUACGGUACGUUUUGGAGGCUUGGAUUUAUUGAGCUUUUGAUCCCUCCAAGUUAUGCGCGUGUUAAGUCCCUUUUCUCUAUUUUUAUUUUAAAUUGGCCCCACAACUCUGUUUUUAUUUGAUUUUAGUCCUUUUUCGUUUAUUUUUAUUUCCUUAUUAAAUACUCUUGUUAUUUUUAUAUUAUUAUUAUUAUUAUUAUGCAUUACUUUACGUUUUAUUAUAUAUUCAUAUAUUUAUAAUACGUACAUACUUAAUAUUUGUAUAUACUUAUGUAAUAUUAUUACUAAGAUUUCUAUUCUAAUAUGUAUACAUCACCUAAAUAUUUUAGUAUUAUACGUAUAUAUAUAUUAUUCAUAUAUUAUAUACAUGUGUUUUUAACACUAUACUUUAUAUAUAUCAUAUAUAUUUUUAAUGUUGUAUUAUUAUUAUGUUCUAAUACUAUAUUAUGUGUAUAUUUUUUCACACGUAUAUUAUGUACAUAUAUUUCUAAUAUUUUACAUAUAUAUUAUCAUGUAUAUACUUUUUUUUUCUUUUUGAUAUCAUUAGUUAUAUUCUUUUUAUACAUUAUUUCGUGUAUGUACUUUAGUACCGUAGUUAUAUAUUUUUAUAAUAUUUCAUGUAUAUAUUUUCUUUUAUAUAUCGUGUACAUACGCUUAUACUCUAUUAAUUAGUUUUAUAUACUAUUUCAUGUGUAUAUUUCUCAUGCUAUUUCAUAUAUGUAAAAUCCUUAUUAUUGUUAUUAAUACUGUAUAUAUUUCAUCAUAUAUGUGUAUAUGUAUAUAUAGUUUUUUCCAUUAUUUCAUUUCAACACUUUAUUAUUUGUCUCUUUUUCUUUUAUAAUGUGAUUAUACAAAUUGGUGUAUAUAUUUCUUAUGUACAUACAUCCUUCAAUAUAUAUUAUUAUGUAUAUAUUUUAACAUUAAUUGUUAUAUAUAUUUUUAUCAUUUCAUGAAUAUUUCAAAUAUUAUAUAUAAUAUAUUUCUAACAUUAUUACUAAGUAUAUAUAUAUGUGUUUUGACGUGCAUGUUCUUAAUAUCAUUUUUAUGUAUGUACAUUCAUUGUUUCCUCGUAUUUGAUACUAUCAUUACAUUUAAUCUUGCAUGCACUAUUAUUACGUUUUAAUAUUAUUGUCACAUUGAUUAUCUGCUUCAAUAUGUACCUAGCUCUUUCAUUUUAUUUAUUUUUAUUCCAUAUCAAUUUUGUUUUGCAUUUCUUCGAAAAUCACAUUCUUGUUUCUAAUUAAUUUCAAUAAUCAAAGGCAACAUAUCGGUUUAACACUAAGUCGUCGUUUUCAUCGCUAUGUUGGGUGAACAUCAAUCGACUCGUGUUAAAACGGUAUAUCCUUCUUUAAAAAAUCAAAAAGAUUGAAAAUUCUUGUCUUUUCAAAUGAAUCACGACUAAAUGUUAUAUUGAACUCGUAUUUUUUUUUGAAAAUCAAGACAACACGUGUUUAUAAGAUACCAAUUUUGGGCGUCGCGAGGGUGCUAAUACCUUCCUCGCGCGUAACCGACUCCCGAACCCUAAUUUUUCUCUGGAUUUUAACGUAGACCUAAACUUAGCCUUUAUUUGUUUUAAUAAGAGAUCUAAUAGGUGUCCGAUCACACCUAGGAAAAAGGAUCGGUGGCGACUCCCUGUUUAUUUCAAAAAUCAAACGUCAAAUUUCAAACUUUUUUUCAAUAAAUCGCCACAAUUAGCGACCGAGCUAAGCAAAUUUUUUACGUCGCUACAGUAAGUAUAGUCAUAAAAGAUAGCUUUUCAUAGACUCAAUUAGUAUAGUCUUCUAAGAUUCCAAUGUCUUGUCGAGCAAAGGCCUUCCGAGGGCCUAGAGUGUCAUUUUCGGCUAAGCUUUCUAAGGUUACAGUGCCCUAUUAGUUGAAGGCCUUCCGAAGACCCUAAUGUCAUUUCUAGCAAAGCAUUCUAAGUUUCCAGUGCUCCAUUAAGUGUAACCUCUUAAGACCUCAAUGGACAAUAUUAGAACACCACAAUUGUGUAAGAUACAAAUAUUCUUAAAGAAGUACAAGCUAAUGACAAAUGAGGAUCUACAUUAACCUUCUUAACUAUGCCUCACAUUCGAUAGUCCCAGAGUAAGUCACAUUAUAACUUCCCCUUCGACUGGGUGACAAUUAUUAUACCCAUUCUUACGCACAAUCAUCAAGUCACCUCAUCACAUCUUAAUGAAACACUCGUGUCUCUACAACCACCCUAUAUAGAAGGACAUUAUUCUAGUGGAAAUCACAUCAAAGCUCUUCCUCUAUAAAUACCCUUUCCAUCACAAAAAGAAGACAACUUUAGGAUAUAAGCUACAGCUCCAUUAAAUCUUUCCCAAAAAGCUUUCCAAACUCAUGAAAUCUCCAAAAAUCAUCAUUUCUAAUGGCUCUCCACACCAUCUAUGGUGUGAAACACCCCGUUAGUAGCUCUCUACUAGACUUGUUUAUAGGUUAGGCUACCUGUUUAAGUCCGAAGGCCUACUUGAAAUUUAGGAGGGUUUGAGUAAAAAUAUUAGGCUCGAAAAAUGUGUUUGAGCAAAAAAAUAAGGCCCGUUUAAAAUAUGGACUGAGUUUUUAAAUUAUUAUUGUUUGAUAUUAAAUUAUUUUUAUAUAUUAUGUUAUUAUGUAAUUUAUAAUACAUAAAAAUUAAAUCUAUUAUAGUAUAUAAUAGUACUAUGAUGUAAACAUUAAAAAAUGUUAAGGUGAGUAUACAUAAAAUUUUAACAAAUAAAAAAAUCUAUAAAAUUAUUAAAUAUUAAAUUAAAAAUUAUAUAAAUAUAUUUAAAAAACUUUAAAAAAUAAUAUGGGUGGGUCUAAAAUGGGCUUAGUUAACUAUUUAAAAAUACGAACGGGCUUAGACAAAAUUUAGGCUCAUAUUUUGAGAUGAGACGGAAUUAAACAAAUAUAAAAUAUGUUAAUAUCAUAUCUAUAUAUAUAUAUAUAGAUCCAAUCCAAUAUAUAAAUACUUGUAUUCUCCACACCAAUAUGAUGUGAAUCACAUUUACCAUUCUACCUUCAUUAUAAUUUUAUUUUUAUAACAAAUAUUCGAUGAAAUAUAUUUAGUUUCAAACAAGCAUACUCCUCUGUUGUUAUUAAACAAAUUAUUCAAAAGAAAAACAUCUACAAGAUAUUGAAUAGAAAUUUCUUGGGCAAGAUUUGUUAUGUUAGAUUUUGUCUAACCCGAAUCCCGUCACUUAUUAAAGAAAUAAAUAUAGUGACAAAAUAAGAAGAUCAUACAACACAAGUUGAAUUUAUAUAAAGCUAUUCUUCUUGUAUUUAACUUUGAUUAAAAUAAAGAUUUUCAGCCCUUGAAUAAAUGUAGUCGAAACUCCUCAUGUAAUAUUCAUUUUUCAACAUUUGUAAAUUUCUCCUCCUCUACCUUUAAUUUUUUCCUGAAAGGAUUUCUAUAUAAAAUAUGUGUUUUUAUUUUUUUUUAUUGCUUUGUGAUCGUUCUACCGCUUUUAUCGACGUUUAUUAUAACAUGUUAUGUUAAUUUUGGACCAAAUAUAUGUCAGCAAUUUCUUAUUUUUAUAUUAUAAAAACUUUAAUCCUUCAUCCUCCUAACUAAAAAUAAAAAAAUGUUUGCAAUUACGUGUAGACUGUGUAUCUGUAUGAAAUCAACAUAUGCCGAAAGUAGGCUUACCAGAAAGAAAAGAAAAAUGCUCUAAAUACCAACCAGGUUCGUUAAAGUAAUUCAAAGUGAACAAAGUUUGCAAUUUGGUGCAGGUUUGAUUAUGAAUUUUAUUCAUAUACUUCAUUAAAAUUGAGACUUUAAUUUGUUUAUUCACAUAUUUUAUGAAAAUUGAGUUGUUGAAUGGUUAGUAAAUAAAUGAAAAGGUUAGUUUUUACUAAUUAUUUACGUAUAAAUGUAAAUUGUUGAAUUGCUGAUUUUCGAGUCAAUAAUUUAAUAGUAAGGUUUAACCGUAUGAUUAAAUUAGACUUAUCAAAAUACGAGAAUCAACUUUUAACAAAUUAAAACAGAAGAAUUUAAUUUCUCAAUUUUCAUAAAAUAGAGAGAUGAAAUACAAAAUUAGACUUAAAAUAAGAAAUAAGAAUAACACAAAAGCACAAGUGGUAGUAUUUUACAUUCAACAAAAGACAUUUUAGAAGUUAUAUUGUCUUGUAACAAAUAUACAAAGAGAGGGUAAACUGGUGUUUAAAAAAAUUAAAAUAAGGAGUUCAAGAAAAUUGACAUAAAAGAUUUAGAGUGAUUCGACUUCAACUACCUACUUCUACUAUCUUAACUUAUUAUCAUUAAGAAUUUCUCAAAUUAUCUAAUUUGAAACUGACAAGGUUUAACCUUUACAACAUUAGGCAAGAUAGAGUUACUUCCCUUAAGAUUUUUUACCAAAAACCUUAAGUAAUCUCACACAACUUUGAGAAAUACAAUUGAGAAUGAAUAAGCACCUCUAAAAGGUAGAUAUACAAUGAUAAAACUCUUACGAUUACAAAACAACAAGUUUGUUUACAUGUGAAAAUGAGAACAAGGUGAAAUGAUUUUUUUUCUUGAUCUUAAUAAGCUUGUUUCCUAUCAUCUUUUGAGCAUUCUUGGGUUAUAUUUAUAUCCUCUCAUUAAUUUUAUGAUGUUUGGAAUCAUUGAAGGGAAUUUCUAACCGUCGAGAGCAUUGAAUUCGCGCAUUUAAUGCAAUAUGCAAGUCUAUGUCUCGAGACAUAAGAGAGUUGUCUCAACACAUAGAGGUAAAAAUAUGAUCGUGAGAGCAGAGUGUCCCAAGACAGUAAGACUAAUGUCUCGAGACAUCAUAAUAUGUCUCAAAACUUGGAGAGUUUUGCCUCAAGACAUUUCACCAUUGAAGCAACACUUUAGCUUCAGUAUUUUAUGUCUCGAGACAAAUCGAGACUUUUCUGAAAUUAUCUUGAGACUUUGCUCCCCUAAAGUAUUUUAUGUUUCAAGACAUAUUACCCUAUGUCUCAAGACUUUUUUGAAACUAUAGUAUUUUGACUUAGAAACACUUUUAAAGCAUAUGCGAAUACUAGAAAAAAUUUGUAUAAUGCAUAAGUAGUUUAGAAAUUUUAUUUUUGAGUUUGUAACACUUGAAAAAAAAUAGAUAUGAUAAAAGUAAUUUUUGCAAAUUUAAAUUUUUAUAUUUAAAAAUAAAAGCUAAUAAUCUUGUAGUGUAAUCAAAUAGAAACCUAACAUAUCUAACAUUGAGAAAGCUAACGAGAAUUGGGAGGAUUACAAGAGAAAUAUGACCAAUACAAGAAUUUUGAGAAAACAAAGUAAAAUAAGCAACCCACUCCUUUGAAAAUAAAAUAUUCAAAAGCAUUUGGAAUGAUAGAAAUAUCAGCUGAAAAAUAAUUCUAAUAUUUGGUAUCUCAAAUUUUAUUUUAUUUUUUUGAAAAUUAACUUUUUUUUUCUUGAGAAUUACUUUGUCAUAAAUAUGACAACCUGAUUCUCAUAAUAAAAGAUGGGAAAAUUACUUUCCCAUAAGUUAGGAACUUUAAAAAAAAUUAAUAAAACAAAAUUAACCAUAUUUUAUAUUAAUUUAAAAUAUUAACCUAUUAAUAAACUCAAAAACAAACAAACUAUUGUCUCCUUCUCCCUACCUGAUUUUAUUUAGUUUUUUUUCCUUAAUUUUACUUUUUAUAUGCAUAUUAUAUUUAUUUUACAUUGUUUUUCUCUCUUUUCUUUUUGGUAUAUUAAUUUAAAAUUCAAUUUUAUUAUAAUCUUUAUAAAUAUUUACGAGCAAUAGGGAAAAAAAUUAAAGUUUUGGUUUAGCUCAUUGAUAUAUUCCAAAACAAGUUAUAUAUGAACUUAUUUUAUAUAUGCAUUAUUAUAUGGGUAAAUAUUUGUUGUAUAUCGAAACCAUUUUUUUUAAAACGGGGAUAGACUUUUUGAAAACAAAACAUGGAGUCGCCACCAAUAUUUUAUUUAGGUGUGAUUAGGUCACCUAAUAAAACACUUUGUUUUAUUAAAUCGAUUUUGGCCUACGUAAAUAUGAGAAAAUGGGUUCGGGAGCCGAUUACGUAUGAGGAAGGAUUGGCACCCUCACUACGCCCAAAAUUGGUACCAAAUUAAUUAAGUAUUGUCCAUAUGUCUGAGAUUUGAAACUAUUUUUGAAGAAUGAUCCUUUUAAAAAUUUGAAUAGCUCAAGUUGGUCGUCAAAAUUUUCUUGUUUCAAAGGAAUGCAGCAUUAUAUCCAACACGAUAGGACACGACACUUUAUUCCCUUGAGCACAUGAUAAAUCUUGGUUUCCAAAAAUUUAUAUCCCGAAAAUUACAAAAGGAUGUCCAAUUAUUUAGUCCAAUGAAAAACCGAAACCCAUCAUGGUAGGGCACGAUUCUUCGAACUUCUAAACGUUGAACAUUGAUUUGCUUUAGGAUUGAGAAAAUAUGAGUGAAAUUCAAAAGGGACGUUCGAUUACUUUGAACAAACGAAAAAUUGCAACCCAGCACGAUAGGGCACAAUUCUUCGAAUUGCCAAGCAUCGAGCAUUUCCUUUGUUCUAAAGAAAAUUUUUAAAGACAUGGGUAAAAUUCCGAAGGAAUAUUCAAUCGUUUCGAACAAACAUGAAAUUGCAACCCAGUACGGUAGGGCACGAUUCCCCGAAUUGCCAAACAUCAAAUAUUACCUUUGUUUUAAGGAAUUUUUAAAUAAAUAAUUAUAAAACCAGCUUGAAAUGCAAUAAUUUGACUUAAAAAUGGAAUAAUUAAUUCUAAAGAGUUAGAAAUUAUAGAGUACUAUUUGUUAAUCGGAAAGGAAAUAAAAACACAAGAUAAUGUACAUGUACGAGAUACUAGGAUGGAUGAAUAGAGAUAAGAUAAUUUGUUUAAUCAACUAACAAGAUAGCAAUCGAAUUCCACCAAUCUAAAAAAAAUAUUAUCAAUUUCCUAAUCAUGGAUGAAGAAUAAUCAAUAUGAUGGCAAUACAAAACAAAAAUAAUAUACCACAAUAAUAUAUAUAACCUAAUACAACAUAUUCAAAUGCAAAAAAUGCAAAACAAAAUGAAAAUUAAAGAAAAAUAUAUAUGUAUGAGAUAAAUUUAAAAGGAUGAAUAUAUAAUAUAUUAUAUGAAUUGUUAAACUAGACACUUUUUACGGUAACAAAAUAAAGGAAUACAUGUGACCAUUAAAAUAUAUGUUAUAGAAUAAAUAUUUAAAUCGAAUAAUAUAUGAAAUGUUAAAGGAUAUUGGUUUAAAAUUGACAACUUAUAUAUAAUAAAGGAAAAUUAAAAAUGUGCAAAGACAAUAAAAGCAUAUAUAAUAAUUUUAAGAACUUAUUAGAUUUACAAAUUAUAUGUGUAUAUGCGUAAAUAAAAUUAAAAUGAAAGGAAUACGUAUACGAAAUUAAAUUAAUUUUAUUAUAAAUUAUACAAUGGACUUAGAAACAUAUUUAUAUAUAAAAAAUAUAGGUAUAAUCUACAUGAGUUUAGUGAUGUAUACACCAAUGUUUACGUAUACGUAUAAUAAUAAUUUGGAUAAUGUAUAAAACAUGUGAUUUCUUUUUAAUCAACAAGUAUAGAUAUUUAAAAUAUAAAAAGGGUUAUAUGUAUGAAUAACGUAAUACUAAUAAUAUAUAAAAUAAGGUUAAUUUCAUUUUCAAGGUAUAUAUAUAUACAUAUAUAUAAUAAUGCAUAAAACAUAGAACAAUAUAUAAUAAAUGAAAUUACAAUUAAUCAGACUACAACAAAUAAAUAAACAAAAUUAUGCAAGUAAUACAACCAAUACCAAUAAACACGAAUAAUAGAGAAAACUAUAAAAAUGAAUUUAAACAAAACCUAAUUGAAAUCAAAUUAAAAUAAGGAGGCUAAUUCAUAAAUAAAAAAAGCUACUAGGGUUAAAAUAGUAACCCAGACGGAUGCGCGAGUAACCAAGGAGGACCAAAUGGGAAAUAAAACCCUUCCGUCCAAAACGCACCGUUCGAUCAGGGACCCAGGUGAAACGAUAAGGAAAUUCCUGGGCGAAAUUAAGAAAAGAAAUAAAAGAGAAUGGGACAACAUCAAAAACAGCUUCAAAAGCAGAGGGACUGAGGUCACAAAUAGACCCUCAGUCCAGAAACACGCGGAUCCUAGGCGGUUUUCGGGUCGGAGUCCGGGUCAGGCGAUUAAACGACGCCGCUUUGGGUAUUGGAUAUUUGCCCCAAAACGACGCCGUACCAAGGGGCUAUAAAAGUAAAAAAAAUUUGUGAAAUUUUCAUUUCGUCAGUGCAGAGGAAAAAAAAAAGAAGAAAGAGAGAUGUGAGGGAAUCCGGCCUAGGCGAUUUUCGGUCGUCGGAUCGGUGCCCGUCGGUCACCGGUGUCCGCCGUAUACGGCGGUCGGAGAUGUAAAAAUCUCUGAAUCGAUGCCUCUCGUCCCCCUCUCUCCAUAUCUGAAGUCCAAACAAGCAAAGGAGACCUAGGAGAUCGGAUCGAGCAAUGGGAACCGUUCGGUUCCGACUUCUCCGAUCUCCGAAAAAGGUAACAAUACCCUUUCCUUUUUAAAUAUAUGUAUAUGUGUUGUGUGUACGUGCGUUGAAUCAACUGGCAAAAUAAGAAAAUCAGUUAAUAGAAUGAAGGGACAACCUUUUCUUUUGAAAUAUUUUGAUUCCUGCUAUUAGUUGUUUUUUCGUGUAAAAAAGAAAAAAAAGAGAGGACAUUGUAUGUUUUUAGGCCCUUUUAUAGCCAAAUACAACAACUUUUUUAUGCUAUUCGUCACUGUUUUGCUUUACUUUUCUGUUUCUUUGCUUUCUCCCUUUUUUAUUUCUGUUUUGCAGGUCUAGAGGGGGUCAACGGCGGUGACAGAGGAGUUGGUGGAGGCAGACGGUAUGGGGUGAUGGGACAAGUGCGACUAGGGUUUUUUUUCUUUUCUUUUUUCUUUUGAUUGUUGGUUUGGGCUAGGGUUUGAGUUUAUUGGGUUUAGGGGUUGCAAAAUGGGCCGGGCGAAUUGGGCUUGUAACAGUGUACUUAUAGUAAACUUUUUUUAUUCCACAAGUAACCUUAAAAAAAUUAACAUAAGUCUCUUUUUUUAAAAUAUAUUUUUUAAUAUUUUACUAUACCUCUAUAGUAUACUUAUCAACCCCUUAACCUUAGGUGUGAAGUCUAAAAACUUUAAUGAAAGUAUACCAAAUAUUUUCCCUUAUUAUAUUUAAAAAAUAUAUGCAAGACAAAUUUGAAACAAUUUUAUUUUCAAUUAAAAUUAUAAAUUAUAAAAUAAUUUAAAAACUAUCAAUUAAAUCUUAUUAUUAAAUACUUAAUCUAAAUAUUUG
rnacentral:lncRNA from 1 species